CAAGCAGCUCUGUCAAGGCCAGAGGGCAGGCCCUACAGAGGUGCCUCCUCGGGGAGUCCAGAGGAACGUGGAAAGCGUGGAUCAGGUUCCUUCGGAAGAGCAAGGGAGGCUCUUCUAGAGAAAGCCAUUCAUCAGUGCUUCAUUCAUCUGGAUGCUUGUCAAGGUCUGGGGAAACAAAGGCAACAGAAUGUGAGCAUGAGAGGACAGGGCCCAGAGAGGGUUUCUUCUGCCCUGGUUGGGGGCAGGCAUGCAGUGAGCCCUCCAGGAAUUAGGACCCAGCUGGGAAGGGAAGACUCGCCCGUGUGAAGCAAGGAGAGGGAGGCCACAAAGUCAAUGCUGAAACAGACACUAGAUAAAGGCUCCUGCCCGUGUUUUCCCUUCACUUCCUUUGCUUCCUGCCCGACCUUGGUGUCUCCCGAUGCAGCCCUGCAUGAGAUUCCGUGCCUCUGGGAUCUAGGGAUCAGUCCCAGGCCCCUGCCAUUCACUGUAGAGGUCAGCAUGAGCAAGAUGAGUACCUGACAAUGGCCAGGGGUGAGGUCAUCACAUCAUCCAGUGUCUGGCAGUGAACCCAGCAAGGGUUGGAGUCUUCCUGGCCUACAGGUGCAGAAGUCACCCAGCCAGCAGGAGGUCAAGCUGUCUAAAUCCCGGCACUCCCUCUGAUCCCCAGAGGGUGCCUGCAUGGGGAAGCAGCUGCCAGGUGCCUUGAACCCACGGCCUAGGGUACGGGACGGACCGUGGGCAGAAAGAGCUGCACUUAUCCUGUUGUUAGGGUAAGGUUAUUUCAUUGUCUAGUAGAACAGUCCUGAGACCCCUCAGAUGUGUAUCAGCGGUCAUAUGUUGAAAGAAGACUGUUAACAUAUAUCCUGGGCAGGAGGAGGUGUGCAGUUAUCAGAGGGAAGUUACACUGACCACAGUGAUGAAGCUACAGCGGUAAAACAUUAAAGGAAGUCCCUGCGGGAAUA